rnacentral:rRNA from 1 species
GAUGAACGCUGGCGGCGUGCCUAAUACAUGCAAGUCGAGCGAACAGACGAGGAGCUUGCUCCUCUGACGUUAGCGGCGGACGGGUGAGUAACACGUGGAUAACCUACCUAUAAUACUGGGAUAACUUCGGGAAACCGGAGCUAAUACCGGAUAAUAUAUUGAACCGCAUGGUUCAAUAGUGAAAGACGGUUUUGCUGUCACUUAUAGAUGGAUCCGCGCCGCAUUAGCUAGUUGGUAAGGUAACGGCUUACCAAGGCAACGAUGCGUAGCCGACCUGAGAGGGUGAUCGGCCACACUGGAACUGAGACACGGUCAAGACUACUACGGGAGGCAGCAGUAGGGAAUCUUCCGCAAUGGGCGAAAGCCUGACGGAGCAACGCCGCGUGAGUGAUGAAGGUCUUCGGAUCGUAAAACUCUGUUAUUAGGGAAGAACAAAUGUGUAAGUAACUAUGCACGUCUUGACGGUACCUAAUCAGAAAGCCACGGCUAACUACGUG